rnacentral:rRNA from 1 species
UACGAACUGUGCGAACGUUAUUCGGAAUCACUGGGCUUACAGGGUGCGUAGGCGGCUUGUUAAGUAGGGUGUGAAAGCCCCCGGCUCAACCGGGGAAUUGCGCCCUAAACUGGCGAGCUGGAGUGAGAUAGGGGUGUGUGGAACUUCCGGUGGAGCGGUGAAAUGUGUUGAUAUCGGAAGGAACGCCGGUGGCGAAAGCGACACACUGGAUCUUGUCUGACGCUGAGGCACGAAAGCCAGGGGAG